rnacentral:rRNA from 1 species
GGGGACCCGCACAAGCGGUGGAUGAUGUGGUUUAAUUCGAUGCAACGCGAAAAACCUUACCUACCUUUGACAUGUACGGAACUCGCCAGAGAUGGCUUGGUGCUCGAAAGAGAGCCGUAACACAGGUGCUGCAUGGCUGUCGUCAGCUCGUGUCGUGAGAUGUUGGGUUAAGUCCCGCAACGAGCGCAACCCUUGUCAUUAGUUGCUACAUUUAGUUGGGCACUCUAAUGAGACUGCCGGUGACAAACCGGAGGAAGGUGGGGAUGACGUCAAGUCCUCAUGGCCCUUAUAGGUAGGGCUACACACGUCAUACAAUGGCUGGUACAAAGGGUUGCCAACCCGCGAGGGGGAGCUAAUCCCAUAAAGCCAGUCGUAGUCCGGAUCGCAGUCUGCAACUCGACUGCGUGAAGUCGGAAUCGCUAGUAAUCGUGGAUCAGAAUGUCACGGUGAAUACGUUCCCGGGUCUUGUACACACCGCCCGUCACACCAUGGGAGCGGGUUCUGCCAGAAGUAGUUAGCCUAACCGUAAGGAGGGCGAUUACCACGGCAGGGUUCGUGACUGGGGUGAAGUCGUAACAAGGUAACCGUAAGGGC